rnacentral:rRNA from 1 species
GAUGAACGCUGGCGGCGUGCCUAAUACAUGCAAGUCGAGCGAACAGAUGAGGAGCUUGCUCCUCUGACGUUAGCGGCGGACGGGUGAGUAACACGUGGAUAACCUACCUAUAAGACUGGGUUAACUUCGGGAAACCGGAGCUAAUACCGGAUAAUAUAUUGAACCGCAUGGUUCAAUAGUGAAAGACGGUUUUGCUGUCACUUAUAGAUGGAUCCGCGCCGCAUUAGCUAGUUGGUAAGGUAACGGCUUACCAAGGCAACGAUGCGUAGCCGACCUGAGAGGGUGAUCGGCCACACUGGAACUGAGACACGGUCCAGACUCCUACGGGAGGCAGCAAUAGGGAAUCUUCCGCAAUGGGCGAAAGCCUGACGGAGCAACGCCGCGUGAGUGAUGAAGGUCUUCGGAUCGUAAAACUCUGUUAUUAGGGAAGAACAAAUGUGUAAGUAACUAUGCACGUCUUGACGGUACCUAAUCAGAAAGCCACGGCUAACUACGUG